rfam:Triticum aestivum genome assembly, contig: Triticum_aestivum_CS42_TGACv1_scaffold_571920_7AS
AAAGUACUCCCUCCGUCCCAAAAUUCCUGUCUUAGAUUUGUCUAGAUACGGAUGUAUCUAAUACUAAAACGUGACUUGAUACAUCCGUAUUUAGACAAAUCUAAGACAAGAAUUUUGGGACGGAGGGAGUAUAUG